UACGUAUGGUGCGAACGUUGUUCGGAAUCACUGGGCAUAAAGAGCACGUAGGCGGUCGGGCAAGUCCAUUGUGAAAUCCCCCGGCUUAACCGGGGAACUGCAAUGGAUACUACUCGGCUUGAGUGUAGGAGGGGAGAGUGGAAUUCCUGGUGGAGCGGUGAAAUGCGUAGAUAUCAGGAGGAACGCCGGCGGCGAAAGCGACUCUCUGGUCUACAACUGACGCUGAGGUGCGAAAGCUAGGGGAGCAAACGGG
rnacentral:rRNA from 1 species